CCGCCAUCCUGCGGGGGAGUAUCGAGCACGGCAAACCGGGCCUGUAACCGGCGCCAAGGGAGAGUGACGAUGGGAUCUGCAGGAUGGCAGCGACUUUGGUCCGCAGAUAUUUAAAAGCAGAUGACUUGGCGUGGAAACGAUAAAGCCCUUGCUAAAAAUGCAGGAAAAAAAUCAGCAAAUACUAUAUACCUUUCGCAGAAGGUAAAACAGGGCUUGUGAUCUGUCAGGGACCUCUGAGGAGGGGGCAGGCAGUGAGGAUACAAGCUUUAGAAUGGAAUAAACAAAGUAUUUUUACAGCUCAACUUAACGAUGCCCUAUAGCUAGCAGGUGACUGAGGUGAACCGAUCAAGUUGAAGCAUUUCUCUUCAACGAUACUGCUUUGGAGCAGAGGGAACAGAAAAGAAUGUGGUUAAAAGGGAUCUGGGUAGCUAGGGAUCAAAAUCAUGAUCUGAACAAAGUGCAUAGCUUUGAAAUGAGCUUCCAUACCUAAUGGCAAAAGUUAAAGUAUUGCAACUGCUUCUGUUAUCUUUCAGGGUUUUUGGCUGCAUACCCUAAUAUUCAUCGCACAGCUCCUAAAUUAGAGUUGUGCUUUCCUCCUGUCUCUGAAUUCUGACAGAUACAAGUUUUGAAUAACAUUGGCAGCAAUGUCAGGAUGGAGCAAUGCAGAAUUCAGUCUCUCUCAGAAUUCAUUUUAAGACUGAAGAUUUUAUUUUUACAGCCAUGUUUUGUUUGUUCUUUAAAAAAUGUAAUACAUAGCAGUGUGGGUAAGAAGCCAAAUUUUAUUACCUGGCCUCAAUCAUAGAGUAAGAUUACUGAAGUUAUCUGGUGCACAGCAAGGGGCAAUAUGCACUCAUUAAUGACUAGUGUUAUACAUAGGGAUACACUUGGUUUCUGUCUGCUAUUUUAAAAUAACAUUUUCUUGCAUGAGUAUUCAAUAAGGUUGCUCUUCCCAAAGCAAACCUUUGUGAAAGAAGAAGAAA